GCCUGGGUGGCUUAGUCGGUUAAGCAUCUGCCUUCGGCUCAGAUCAUGAUCUUGGGGUCCUGGGAUCGAGCCCUACCUUGGGCU
rnacentral:tRNA from 1 species